UACGGAGGGGACGAGCGUUGUCCGAAGUUACUGGGCGUAAAGCGCGCGUAGGCGGGUUGGCAAGUCUGCUGUGAAAGCCCGGGGCUUAACCCCGGAGGGUCGGUGGAUACUGCCAGUCUUGAAGGUGCUAGGGGGGAGAUGGAAUUACCGGUGUAGCGGUGAAAUGCGCAGAUAUCAGGAGGAACACCAAUUGCGAAGGCAGCUCGCUGGGACGUUACUGACGCUGAGACGCGAAAGCGUGGGGAGCAAACAGG
rnacentral:rRNA from 1 species